rnacentral:lncRNA from 1 species
AUGCAUCAAAAUGACCCCAAAAUCAGCCCCAAGAACAGCCCCCAAAAGACCCCAAAACAGCAUCAAAAGGACCCCAAAAUCAGCUCCCCAAAGACCUCAAAACCAGCCCUAAAAAGCAUCAAACUGACCCCAAAAAGACCCCAAAAACAGCAUCAAAACCAGCCCAACAACAGCAUCAAAAUGGCCCCAAAAAAACCCCAAAAAGCAUCAAAUCGACCCCAAAACAGCAUCAAAACCAGCCCCAAAAAGCAUCAAAUUGACCCCAAAACCAGCAUCAAAACGACCCCAAAUCCACCCAAAAACACCCCAAAACCAGCCCUAAAAAGCAUCAAACUGACCCCAAAAUCGGCCUCAAAAUGGCCCCAAAACCAGCCCAAAAUGCAUCAAAACGACCCCAAAAUCAACCCCCAAACAUGCAUUAAAGUGACCCCAACAACUAGCCCUACAAUGAACCCCCAAACAGCCUAA